AGUUAUAAACUUAUUGUAAGGAUAUGUUUUGAAAGCAUAGUAAAAGGGUUUAAGCCCCUUAUUAACUU
rnacentral:tRNA from 1 species